AUUGAACGCUGGCGGCGUGCUUAACACAUGCAAGUCGAUCGGUAACAGGUGUAGCAAUACAUGCUGACGAGAGGCGGACGGGUGAGGAACGCUUGGGAAUCUGCCUAUCAGCGGGGGACAACCCGGGGAAACUCGGGCUAAUACCGCAUACGCUCUACGGAGGAAAGCCGGGGACCGCAAGGCCUGGCACUGAUAGAUGAGCCCAAGUCGGAUUAGCUAGUUGGCGGGGUAACGGCCCACCAAGGCGACGAUCCGUAGCUGGUCUGAGAGGGCGAUCAGCCACACCGGAACUGAGACACGGUCCGGACUCCUACGGGAGGCAGCAGUGGGGAAUAUUGGACAAUGUGGGAAACCCUGAUUCAGCGACGCCGCGUGGGUGAAGAAGGCCUGCGGGUUGUAAAGCCCUUUCGGUAGGGAAGAAAUCUCUUGCUCUAACAAAGCAGGAGUUUGACUUAACCUACAUAAGAAGCACCGGCUAACUCUGUGCCAGCCGCCGCGGUAAAAC
rnacentral:rRNA from 1 species